UCCUCCCUCUGUCGGCGUGCCUAAUACAUGCAAGUAGAACGCACAGUUUAUACCGUAGCUUGCUACACCAUAGACUGUGAGUUGCGAACGGGUGAGUAACGCGUAGGUAACCUGCCUGGUAGCGGGGGAUAACUAUUGGAAACGAUAGCUAAUACCGCAUAAUAUUAAUUAUUGCAUGAUAAUUAAUUGAAAGGUGCAAUUGCACCACUACCAGAUGGACCUGCGUUGUAUUAGCUAGUAGGUGAGGUAACGGCUCACCUAGGCGACGAUACAUAGCCGACCUGAGAGGGUGAUCGGCCACACUGGGACUGAGACACGGCCCAGACUCCUACGGGAGGCAGCAGUAGGGAAUCUUCGGCAAUGGACGAAAGUCUGACCGAGCAACGCCGCGUGAGUGAAGAAGGUUUUCGGAUCGUAAAGCUCUGUUGUAAGAGAAGAACGGGUGUGAGAGUGGAAAGUUCACACUGUGACGGUAUCUUACCAGAAAGGGACGGCUAACUACGUG
rnacentral:rRNA from 1 species